rfam:Aspergillus glaucus CBS 516.65 unplaced genomic scaffold ASPGLscaffold_22, whole genome shotgun sequence.
GCCGGGCUAGCUCAAUUGGUCAGAGCGUGUGACUUUUACGAUCCCGUUUUCAGUUUCCUGUUUCGGGCGUGAAUUCACCCCAAUCACAAGGUUGCGGGUUCGAGUCCCGCGUUCGGCU